rnacentral:rRNA from 1 species
UACGUAGGCAGCGAGCGUUGUUCGGAGUUACUGGGCGUAAAGGGUGUGUAGGCGGUUCUUUAAGUUUGGUGUGAAAUCUCCCGGCUCAACCGGGAGGGUGCGCCGAAUACUGAGGGACUAGAGUACGGGAGAGGAAAGUGGAAUUCCUGGUGUAGCGGUGAAAUUCGUAGAUAUCUGGAGGAACACCAGUGGCGAAGGCGGCGAUCUGGGAAGAUACUGACGCUGAGGUGCGAAAGCGUGGGGAGCAAACAGG